UGUGUUCUCGGCUGGAUUUUCCCUUUGACAGGUGAGCUUCCGUGCUUGGUCUCGGCUGCUCUUUCUCCUGUGUUCCACAGCCUCCUUUGCCAUACGACCUGCAUGUACUCGAAGGUCCGUAGAGAGGAUACCGGGGCGCUCCUGAAGCCGAGAGUUGGAUGAGUCUUCCGUGAUACUGAAGUGAGAGUCAUAUGUUGAUGCCCAGGAGGCAGCUGUCUCCUUGGUCCGAGAAGCCUGAUCGAGGCCAGGCUUGUCUAUAAGAGCUGGGAAAUGGGAGGACCUUUGAAGCCAUGGGAGGGGGUGAGAGCCACCAUCACUCAUGUUCUUGAAUGGGAACUGCCUGGAGAGCCUGAAGGAGGAAGGAGGAGGCUGAGCUGCCCCGGGAGCAUGGGCUGGAUGAGGCCAAGCCAGGAGAUGCCACCACCAAAUAGGAAGUCACCAUUCAGGAUUCGGGCUUUUCUGUGGAGAUCCUGGCCCCGGGAUCAAGCCCUUCUCCCUGUGGCCCCAGAACUGGAACGAGGAGCUGCAGAUAGUGAGGAAUGUGCCCAACAAGAACCAACCUGAGCAGCUGCUACAAGAAAGAGCCAUGUUCAAGGGGCCCAAAGCCCCUGGUGAGUGAGUGACAGCAGCACAGCCUCAGGCCCACCUGCCUCCUGCUGGAAGGUUUUCUUGUGCACAGGAGGGAAGCGAGGGAAGCUGGCACAGUCCCAGCCCUGUCAGGUGCCCUGAAGUCCUUCUAGCCUUCUGCUUCCUGGUAGACCAUCCCAGCACCUUUCUCUGGCCUCUUUGAGACUUUGGGUCCCUGGGAGGAGAAGGCUCCACCUGCUAUCUGGGCUGAGCGGCCAGAGCCAUCCAGCUUCCCACCCUCCACUGAGUGCCAUGGGGCCAUUCCCUGAGCACACAGUGCCCAGCAUGGCCCUUCUAGGGCAGGGGCUCAUUGACGUAGCACUUUCAGCUCGUUGGGGUUUAAAUGUCAUUAAUGCUGUUUCUGAGAGAAAUGAGGACAAAAUAAUUGUUUAAAAAAAGUCUCUCCUGAACUUCCUGCCUAGAGGUGAUAAUGGAAGAAGUAAUUUCUUGGGUACUAACUUUACCAGGAUGAUUCCAAGUGCUUUAUAAGCAUCAUUUCCUAUAAUCUUCUGGUCCCCUUGUAAAUAUCAGUACUUUUUGUCAUUGUUGUGUAGAUGAGAAACAGUCUGAAGUUACCUGCCCAGGUUUGCCAGGCACAUGACUUGUGGAUCCCAAACCUGCCCCAGCUCUCGCACUCCUUGUUAGCCACUAAGCUCUGCACCUCCUUAAGUGUUUAGUUUUUUCAAAAAAUGGCUUUCUUGCCCUUCUCUAAAUAUAAGGAAACUGAGGCAAGAGUCCCUGGCUCCCAAGGCAGGCCUGGCUGCCUCCCCCAUCUUGGUGAGCUGGGCCAGGUAGAUGUAGCCUGAGGCUUUUGUGGGUGUGGCCUCUCACCCUCCCAGUAUCGGCCCCUCCCAGGCGCACAGCAAGUUCAGGGUGGCAGCCACAUGGGGCGCCAUGGUAGUCAGGGGCAUCGUCAUGGCCAUCAGCCCCAGUGAGGAGACCAAGCUGCAGAUGUUCAUCUGGAGCCACAUUGUCUUCAGCCUGGGCUUUGUUGUUAGUGGCCACUACAAGGACUUUGCUGGGGACGUGGCGGCCUCCACAGCAUUCACCAGUGACCUGAAUGGUGAGCAGUUGUGCAGUGCAGCGGACCUGGAGGUUCUGUACAUGCUGGACACGGUGAAGAUGGAUGACUGCAGCUACUGGGUCAGGUUCCAGUCCUCAUCCCUGGCAACCUGGAGUGGGACCAGGAGCAGAGUGUCAUCUGUAGCUUCACUGGCCUUGCAAAAACAGUGGUGUGGCCCCCGUGGUGCCUGGGGCUGCUGGAGCACGAGUUAACUGCUCAAGACUUUGUGACACUGUGUGCUCAACCACUGCGAUGAGGAGGUGGAGCUCUUCUCGGUGAGGGCAAGGGCAUCACUGGCAAUGACAGGUGCCACUGCGUUCUCUACCUGCUGAGCCCCUUUCCCCUGACCUUAGCUUCCUUACUGUACCCCCCAAGGAGCUGCCAGAGGGGUGCUCCCAUGCCACCUUCUCCUGCACCUACAGGCACAGCUUCUGUUGCUUGCGCCAGGAGCUCGUGGAUGCCUUCGUGGAGCACAGGUGAGGAGCAGCCCUGUGAGGUUGGAGCUGCAGCCGCCGCACCCUGUUGGGGGCAUGGGCACCCUGGGUUGUUCUGGGGCUGGAUCGUUGAGGAGAGAAGCUCUGCACAGUGAAGCAGGGCUCCUUCUGGCCACACUAACUAGAGCCCCUUCCCCAUCUCCCACCCACCCUGCCAUCAGGCUCCCAGAUGCAGAUUGGGAGCUUUGUGUCGGUUGCAAGCUAGCGAGCAGUCAAACCAAUGGCCCAGCUGAGUUGUGCUGUUCUCCUUAGGAGCGUUUGGAAGUCGCUGGGUGGCUGUGAAGGUCACAGUCCCCAAGCAUUGCUGCUGCUGGUGUUUUGUGCUUAGGAGUUGACCAUGUUAAAUGUCCUACACACAAGUAACUCUUUUUCAGAA